rnacentral:rRNA from 1 species
AACGAACGCUGGCGGCAUGCCUAACACAUGCAAGUCGAACGAGACCUUCGGGUCUAUUGGCGCACGGGUGCGUAACGCGUGGGAACCUGCCCUUAGGUUCGGAAUAACUCCCCGAAAGGGGUGCUAAUACCGGAUAAUGUCUUCGGACCAAAGAUUUAUCGCCUUUGGAUGUGCCCGCGUUGGAUUAGCUAGUUGGUAGGGUAAAAGACUACCAAGGCGACGAUCCAUAGCUGGUAUGAGAGGAUGAUCAGCCACACUGGGACUGAGACACGGCCCAGACUCCUACGGGAGGCAGCAGUGGGGAAUAUUGGAAAAUGGGCGAAAGCCUGAUCCAGCAAUGACGCGUGAGUGAUGAAGGCCUUAGGGUUGUAAAGCUCUUUUACCCGGGAUGAUAAUGACAGUACCGGGAGAAUAAGCUCCGGCUAACUCCGUG